AUUGAACGCUGGCGGCAUGCUUUACACAUGCAAGUCGAACGGUAACAGGCCUUCGGGUGCUGACGAGUGGCGAACGGGUGAGUAAUGCAUCGGAACGUACCCAGAGGUGGGGGAUAACGCAGCGAAAGCUGUGCUAAUACCGCAUGUGAUCUGAGGAUGAAAGCGGGGGACCGAGCAGCAAUGUUUGGCCUCGCGCCUUUGGAGCGGACGAUGUCGGAUUAGCUAGUUGGUGGGGUAAAGGCCUACCAAGGCGACGAUCCGUAGCUGGUCUGAGAGGACGACCAGCCACACUGGGACUGAGACACGGCCCAGACUCCUACGGGAGGCAGCAGUGGGGAAUUUUGGACAAUGGGCGCAAGCCUGAUCCAGCAAUGCCGCGUGCGUGAAGAAGGCCUUCGGGUUGUAAACCGCUUUUGGCAGGAACGAAACGGUGUCCGCUAAUACCGGACGCUAAUGACGGUACCUGCAGAAUAAGCACCGGCUAACUACGUG
rnacentral:rRNA from 1 species